rnacentral:rRNA from 1 species
UACGUAGGGUGCAAGCGUUGUCCGGAAUUAUUGGGCGUAAAGAGCUCGUAGGCGGUCUGUCGCGUCGGCUGUGAAAACCCGGAGCUCAACUCCGGGCCUGCAGUCGAUACGGGCAGACUGGAGUUCGGCAGGGGAGACUGGAAUUCCUGGCGUAGCGGUGAAAUGCGCAGAUAUCAGGAGGAACACCGGUGGCGAAGGCGGGUCUCUGGGCCGAUACUGACACUGAGGAGCGAAAGCGUGGGGAGCGAACAGG